GCCUGGGUGGCUCAGUCGGUUAAGCGUCCGACUUGGGCCCAGGUCAUGAUCUCGCAGUUCGUGGGUUCGAGCCCCGCAUCGGGCU
rnacentral:tRNA from 1 species